UACGUAGGGGGCGAGCGUUAUCCGGAAUUAUUGGGCGUAAAGAGUGCGUAGGUGGCCAUGUAAGCGCGGGGUGAAAGGCAAUAGCUUAACUAUUGUAAGCCUUGCGAACUGUAUGGCUUGAGUGCAGGAGAGGAAAGUGGAAUUCCUAGUGUAGCGGUGAAAUGCGUAGAUAUUAGGAGGAACACCAGUGGCGAAGGCGACUUUCUGGACUGUAACUGACACUGAGGCACGAAAGCGUGGGGAGCAAACAGG
rnacentral:rRNA from 1 species